GCCUGGGUGGGCUGCGCAGGGUGCCCCGGGUGGGCAGCCCAGCCUUUCCCGUGGGGUUUGCGGCGUCCCUAGGCUUCCUGCCUCCCGGGCAGGUUCCCGGGCCCGCGGCCUCGAUCUCCUUCGUUUCGGGAGUAAACAUUAUUACCAUCCCAAGUUCACGGCUUGGAAAAGGAGGCUCAAAGAGUUGACCAGCCACCGGCCACAAAGCCUGUAAGUGAAGGCAUCUAGCUUCCUUCUACAAAGAGAAAGCCCAGGGCUUGGCUAGACCUUCUCACCACCUCUACCCCCAGUUUCCGCUCCCUGGGCUCUUCACGACCAGCUGGAGCCUUCCAGAACCUCUCCAGAGGACAACUCUGCUCCAGGCGCAGAAACGAAAGCCCGGAGGCAUUAAGUACUUGCCCAGUUCCCGCAGCUUGUAAGUGGAAUGACACCUGCUUGCACCUGGGCCCUGGCGGCAGAGCUGCCUGACGCUCUGACAGCACAAGACUGCUGGUCACUUCCUGCUGGGCACACACGCUAAGGCUCAGAGGAGCCAGAGACACAGUGAACCGUCUAGAAGUGGGUGAAGAAAGCGAGGACAUGAAAAGAAGCUGGUCACCCACGCCACUGUGGGCAGACAUGUUCCCAGGAACCGAGGGGCCCCCCUGAGUCCCACAGUCUGCAGUGUGAUCAGGCCCAAGUCUGGCCCGUGUCCCUGGGACACAUAGACCUCGCUGAAGGACACAACUAUCACAGACAAUCAGCUGUGAGCGAGGACGGCUGGACAGGACGGGAGAUGUGGGCAGGGGUGGGGGAGGAGUGCCAGGCCAGGGCCUGAGACCUGCCGGAGAGAGGCCCCCGAAGGCUUUGUCCAAGAAGCCCCCAAGGGGAGGUGCCGUCACCUCAGUGGUCUGGGGGUAACUGAGGGGACAGAACAGAACUGCUGGAGCGAGGGUGAGAGAGAGAGGAGACCCGUCCCAGGUCCACGGCGGCCCGAAUGACCGCGUCUGUCUGGUUGGCGACCAUCUCAGAGGGCGUCAAAGUCAGGAAAGGGAGGUGGGAGGGAGCCCAUGUGGGAGACGGUCGCGUUAGGACGAGACUCUCGGAGCUUGCAAGUCCUUUGCUUCCAAGGCCUAGAAUUUCUGAUUUCCUCCAGGAACUUUCUAACCUCAUCGUACAAACUAUCUGGCAAAGGGAACUCCUCACCUGGAUGAGGAGUCGGGGUGUCACUGAACCCCUAGAGGCCAGGAGCAGCACUGGCCAUGCAGUGACCUGCUCAAGGCCUGGCCGUGAGCUGCCGCCGACCCCUUGUCUCCCAGACUCCCAUCUUCUUCCUCCCCUCCUCUUUUGGUCGAAAGCUUUGGGCGGUGCUUGCCCUCAGCGGGCUCCCCUCCUGGGUGCUGUUGCUGGGGCUGACACAGGGGAAGGCCUUGCUUACACCAUUUCUCUCCCGCCUCCUGGCCUCAGGGGUUGCUUCUGAGCUCCUGGAUCUCUAGGAAGGCAUUGCACAUGGAGAUGCUGCUGGUUCCCAAGCAUAACCACGUCUUCUACAUCUCCUUAAAAUCUCUCACUUCACCUUUGCAUAAUUGAAUACCAGAUUCAACACUAAAAAAACCCAAAAACAACCAAAGAAAUUCACUCUUAUGAAUAGAGGCAAGACAUGCACAUUGGUGCCGUGUAAUGAAGAUCUGCCCACAAAGACUGCUCUGGGUGGAAGCUGGGCGGAUGGCAGCCUGCCCUCAGCCUGUGCCAGCACUCACAUCCACCCACUGGCUUUUUCUGAGAAAUAUCCAAACAAAGGGGUACGAUUGUGUGAAAUGCCAGCCAAGGAGCCAGCCUGUGGGCCUCCCCGGGGUGAGGGGAGGGGCUGGGCUGGGGAGGCUCGUCACGGGUCAGGAAUGCAGGUGGACUCAAUGCAGGACUCCUUUCCGCCCAAGGACUGAAAGCUACAGUCUGGGGUGUCUGCCACCUAGAGCAGGAGACGGCAUUUACACCAAGCCCAGCCACCCCGCUUCCCAGACACCUGUCAGGACUGCGGGGUGGGGGGGUGGGGGGAACAGACCAAAGCCGAGGGAGGCCAGGCGCGCGGUGAUGGCGAGGAGCACGCUGCUCUGUGAAGGAAACGGCACUAAUUAUACAGCCACAUUCUCUAUAAUAACAGCUUGGCUGUUUCAAGAGCUAUCGUUUAAACCAGCCCGUUGUCUCCUACAAGAGCCCCGAUUCUCAUUAAUAUGUGAGUCACAUUAGACCUUCCAGUUUGGGGGUUGUAAAUGUUGCUUUUCUAUGGAAAUUGGCCUGAUUUCAAACCAAUGAGGGUGCGCUGAUGCCUUCUCCGUGUUUCCAUGGCAUCUUUACAGCAGCUACCACGGCCUGGUUGCACUUAAUUGUGCUUCGAUUUGUCUCCCCAGUGGCUUGGAAACUCCUUGAAGGCUGGAGUGUGUUUAUUCCUAUCUGUAUCCUUAGCCCAGUGUCACACACGGGGCAGGUGCCCAAAGAUUAUGUGUCAAAGUAAAUGGAUGAUGAAAUAGAAGCGUGACAAUCAAAAGCGAGACUUCAGAAAUGACUGGAUCCCAGGGUCCUUGGAAGACGGCGGCGGGGUCAUAGCUUUGAGUCUCCCUCAACUAUCUUCUGUCACUGCCCCCAUCAAAAACAGGCCAAGAGGGCCUCCCUGGUGGCGCAGUGGUUGAGAGUCCACCUGCCGAUGCAGGGGAUACAGGUUCGUGCCCCGGUCUGGGAGGAUCCCAUAUGCCGCGGAGCGGCUGGGCCCGUGAGCCAUGGCCGCUGGGCCUGCGCGUCCGGAGCCUGUGCUCCGCAGCGGGAG